rnacentral:lncRNA from 1 species
UCAGAUUAAUUCAGGACUGAUUUUUACAAACCUAAAUCCGAAUCCGAUAACCAAAUCUAAAAUUCUAAUCCUAAUCUUAAUCGAAUCCCGACAUAUUUUACAAAUUUUAUCCAUAACAGAAUCUAGACAAGAACCCGAAUUCGAACCCAAAUAUCCAAACAACUAUUUCUUUUUGGGGGCAAUUGCUUAUAUAUCCUUGAAAAAUUUUCGACUUUCCGAUUUACCCCUCUUAGAAGGUUAAUAUUGAAAAUACCCUUUCUACAUUCCAAACUAUUUCUAAUAUACCCCUAGAGUUAAAAUCUGUUAAUGAAUUCUGUUAUCUCUAUAAAAUUACUAUUUUACUUUUUUAAAUAUACCCUUCUACAAUCACUAAUUUUCUUAUUUGUCUUUAAAGUCAGGGGCACAAAAAUUAUUUUGACUUUUGAUCUUUUUCAAUAUACCCCUCUACCGUUACCAAUAUUUCUUAUUUGCCCUUAAGUUAAGGACAAAAUUAGUAUUUUAAUUUUUUUAACUGUAGUAGAUAUUUAAUUCACGUUUAACUCAAAUAACUUAACAGGAAAUAACUGUGAGGGUAUUUUGCAAUAAUGGUGGAACAUAUGAGGGAUAUUUUAGAAAGAAAAAAAAAGUAGGGAUAAAUUGGAUAUUUUCAAACGUAUGAGGAGGGGUAUAUAGGUAAUUAUCCCUUCUUUUUACUAUAUUUCAAAAUAUAUUAUAUUAAAAAUUAAAAUUUUCAAAAUUCAAAUUUAAAUAAAACAUCAAACAUUCUUACAUAUUAUAUAAACCUUAAACCCUAAAUCUCAAAACCUAAACCACCUUAAUUUGUCACGCUCCGCCUCGUUGCACAGCGGA